CCUACGGGAGGCAGCAGUGGGGAAUAUUGGACAAUGGGCGAAAGCCUGAUCCAGCCAUGCCGCGUGUGUGAAGAAGGUCUUCGGAUUGUAAAGCACUUUAAGUUGGGAGGAAGGGUAGUAACUUAAUACGUUGCUACUUUGACGUUACCGACAGAAUAAGCACCGGCUAACUCUCCAGACGCCCCCC
rnacentral:rRNA from 1 species